rnacentral:rRNA from 1 species
GAUGAACGCUGGCGGCGUGCUUAACACAUGCAAGUCGAACGAUGAAGCCCAGCUUGCUGGGUGGAUUAGUGGCGAACGGGUGAGUAACACGUGAGUAACCUGCCCUUGACUCUGGGAUAAGCCUGGGAAACUGGGUCUAAUACUGGAUAUGACUUCUCAUCGCAUGGUGGGGGGUGGAAAGAUUUAUUGGUCUUGGAUGGACUCGCGGCCUAUCAGCUUGUUGGUGAGGUAAUGGCUCACCAAGGCGACGACGGGUAGCCGGCCUGAGAGGGUGGCCGGCCACACUGGGACUGAGACACGGCCCAGACUCCUGCGGGAGGCAGUGGUGGGGAGUAUUGCACAAUGGGCGCAAGCCUGAUGCAGCGACGCCGCGUGGGGGAUGGCGGCCUUCGGGUUAUAAACCUCUUUCAGUAGGGAAGAAGCGAGAGUGACGGUACCUGCAGAAGAAGCGCCGGCUAACUACGUG